AAUCAACGCUGGCGGCGUGCCUCAGACAUGCAAGUCGAACGAGAAAGUUUCCUUCGGGAGACGAGUACAGUGGCGUCCGGGUGAGUAACACGUGGGUAAUUUACCUUUGGGUGGGAAUAGCAGCCGGAACGGCUAUUAAUACCGCAUAAUGCAGCGGCUCGACAUCGAGACAGUUGUUAAAGCGGGGAUCUGACAAGGACCUCGCGCCUAAAGAGAAGCCUGCGUCAGAUAGCUAGUUGGUAGGGUAAUGGCCUACCAAGGCUGUGAUCUGUAGCCGGCCUGAGAGGGCGGUCGGCCACACUGACACUGACACACGGGUCAGACUCCUACGGGAGGCAGCAGUCGGGAAUUUUGGGCAAUGGGCGCAAGCCUGACCCAGCAACGCUGCGUGAAGGAUGAAAUCCCUCGGGAU
rnacentral:rRNA from 1 species